CGCCGAAACAUCCCUUCGCGAAAACAACGUCGGCAUUUCUCAAAGAUAACCCCGCAUCAUCCGCGCCCCCUGCCGAAAUCGCUGCAUUUCUCAAAGACAACACCUUUAUCGAUCACGUCAAGCUCUCCGACGCCAACCCCGACAUCAUCCGAACUUUUUCCAGCAGCCUAUGCCGCCUCCAACCUCGCUCCCUUUUACCCCGCCUCCAACAUCUCCCUCGUCUCCUAGGUAACGAGGUCCUCGCAACCCUUGACCGUAAUCUCAUCUCCUACCUCGUCCUUGCCAUGCGAUCCCUUUCUGUAGCGCUAAUCUCCGUCGGUUUCUCUGAGAUUCGCGUCUCAACGCCGCACUCGCUCGGGAUCCUCUCUGCUUCCAAGCCUCCUUCCGUCGGCCACUUCCGUCGCGGCUAAAGCUCCUUGAGUCACAUUUUCUCAUAAAAGAGGUAACGAGUGAAGACAAGGAAGGAGGUGUAGUAGAUCCUGACUCUGACCUAACAAAUGCUAAAGCAAACAAUGAUCCAUCCACAAAGUUAACUCUUGAUAAGAGAUGCAAGGCUCAGAAAAAGGUGGAGGAUAAGGGCUUGAUUGACGAUGAUGAAUUUGAGGAGAAAGCAAUUGGAUCCUUUGUAAGAAUAAGGAUUUCUGGGUUGGGACAAUGGCAAGACAUGUACCGAUUGGUCCAAGUUAUCGGUAGGCUUUACUUGCUACUUAGUAUUGAUAGCUGGAGGCAAGACCUGCAAUUUGAAGGGGUUAAAAUCCAUGAAGUGGGGAGACCAUUUCCUCCACUCAGGCGACCCUUCAUCGUCUCCGGGCAGCUUGCUCCACUCCGGCAGCCCUCCAUCUUCCCUCUUCGGGUUAGAAGAGGGGAAGGGGUCAUUUCCAGACUGCGGCUACAUCCGAAGAUCCAUCCACAAUCGAAGCUUCAUUUGCGUCUACGAUAUAAUUGGGUUGUUUCUACUUGUGUUAGAUUGAGUUAUGCUUGUCAGUUGUUGCUUAUUUUGUUAUGUGUUGAUGGUUUGAUUGAUUGUAUUGAAUUAUCCUUCUAUGUCAUGAUUGCACAUACUUUGCUUAAUUCAAUUCAAGCUCGCCAAAUGUUUGAUGAAAUAUCCCAACUAUUUGUCCUACUUUAGUUUUGCAUUUUCUUUAGCUUAGAUUCUUGCAAUGGUUUGUUAAUUGAAUGCUUCAUGUUUCUCGUAUGUUCAUGUCGUCAUUUAAAUACAAUUAGGUUAGAUUAAAUGUUUCUUUAAUGCUUUCGUUAAAUGCUUUGCUUAUUUUACGUUGCUUUUGUUUUAAAUUUUUAGUUUCUAUUUUUUUUAAUGAAAUGAUAAUUGAAUUAUUUAUAGAAAAUAUUGACUUUCCCCGUCUAUUAUCUACUUGAAGAUAGUGGAAUUUAUAUUCCUUCCACCAUGUACUUUUGUGAAAUCGUGAUUUAAUUUUCAUUCCACUUCGCACUUUAUAAUAAAGUUUGUGUAACUAUGGCCAUUCUCACCCAUUGAGCAUGAUGGAGAGAGGCGUAGGGUUGGGGUUGUAUAUUAUAUUAGAACAAUAAACAUUUAUUGAUGCAUUUUAAGAUAUUAAUUUUAGAUUUAAUUUUAUGUGGAGCAAAAGAGAGGCUGAAUGCACAAUCUUCCUUUCAUCCCCAAUUGCAAGUUAAAGUUUUUAAUCUGAUACUUGCCAGCUUGUGUAGUAGUGCAACUCUAAUUGAGGCAUAUAUAGGGCAUGGUGCCCAAGUAUUAUAAUUUAAGCCAUCAUAACUGCUUUCAAAAUGAACAUUAUUAUUCUACUAUAUCAUUUUUGUUCCUCUAGUAUUCUUGUUUAUGUGUUACUUGAUUUCUUGUUUUAGGGCCAAUGGGAGGAAAAGGCUAGCAAAUAGGAGGUUCCUUUACUAAAGUAUUAAAGCAACUAUUGGGAGGUACGUUCAAGAAAGCUUGUAACUAUUGGUAGUGCUAAAGAGCUUGAGAAGUUGGGCUCAAAUAAAGGUGUUAUAAGUCAGUCAGUGAAGGAAUGUUUUGCUAAGCUUAGUAGAUGAUGAUCUUAUUAUGAAGGACAAAAUAGGUACUUUUGUGAGUUUAUUUUCCAUCAUACAAUCCAAGAAAGAUUUUAAAGAUUUUUUGCUUUUGUAUAGACUUAACAGGGGUACAAAGUUAAUUUAUGAAUUAUGUAUAUAUAUUUUUUGUUUGAAUUGUAUAAAGUCAUAUGUUUUGCUAAA